GUAAAGAGGGAGGGGGCAGGCGGCGACGCUGAGAUUCUGGAGGCCGCCGUCCAGCCUACCCCAGGGCUGCUGCGCUCGCGGGUUUCCGGCCGCUCCUCCCGCUCCUCGCCGGGUCUGGUCGCCCCUUCGCCUGGGCAAAGGUCUUCUCCUUUCUUAAGGUUCUGGAGGAUCUACCUACUCUGAAAUCACUACCCCACAAGAGCAAUGGUCUCAGGGGAGAGAGUCUGUCAGCCUGGAGGAGUGAGUGCACCCAGAUACCAGGUGAAUCCUCACUCUUGCUGAGCCAAAGAGACUGAGGCACAAAAGCACCAGGGCCAGCAAUAAAGGGAAAAGAUGCAACAAAAAAAUAACCUAAGAGGAGAAAAGGAAGCAAGGAGGAAGCAAUUUUGGUAUCACCAACUAUAUACUUCACAUCAACACACUAAAAAAUUACAGAGCAUCGUGUCUGUUCAGGAUACUGUUCUUUUAACUGGUGAGCUCCUCUUCUACCAUUCUCCUCACAGGUAUUCCUGAGACAUAGUUCUGUUGGAGCACAGACAAUGGCAAAGAAAGACCAUGGAAUUAGUGACCCAAAUGCUCUGCUUUGGUUUUUAUAUAGGGAUUUAGAUCUAAGUGCUUCUGAUAUUUCAUCAUUUCUCCUAGCGAGUAAUUCAGGCCUAUUUCUUCCUAAAGCAGAAGAUAUGGAAUAUUCAGAUAAACAAAUGAAUAGAUAUUCCUUCUAAGUAUUUAAUGGAUCGGUCUUUGUCAGGACAAGUAAGAUAGAGUAGCUACUAUAAAGAUGGCUACUUAAGAUGCAUAAAACUAUUUUAACCCUUUAUGGGUGCUCAUUUCUUAUAUAUUUUCAACUUGUACCCGACAAACUGUCUUAAAGCACUGCCCCAAUUCAGGGUGCUUCGAACUGCUUCAGUUCUAUAUGUUCAGUGAUGGGUACCCAGUUAUGGGUACAGAAGCUUCCUAAUCACUAAUUGUCCAGGGCUCUACCCUCCUCUUUUUGGGAUUAUGGGUGUUUUAAGGGCGUGGAGUAGAUAUGGAGGGAAUGUCCAUGUACAAGCAUUAGUUGGGGCCAAUCAGAGCCCUCUGGCACAGAUAGGGGUCAUUGGUGAGAUGGCCUUUAAGACCUCCAUUAAUGCCUUUUGUGGUUAGGAUGACUAUACAUCCUAGUUUACCUAAGAAAUUCUAGUUUAUGCUAUUGUCCCUAUUGUUCUAAUGUAAUUGGUGCCCUUUUCACUCUCAAGUGUCCCAGUUUGGGCAAUAAAUUAUAUGGUAACCCUGUUUAUCACAGAGCUUUACCGAAUGUACCUACUUUGGCAGCUUUUGUUUUAUGGGCUCUCUGGACCUGUUCUCCUCCCCACCCUAUGAUUAAACUUCCAGCCUCCUCUCCUGACUAACCCCAAGUCUUUUCAUCCCCAGGAAUCCUUUCCCUCCUCCCUUUUUCAUACCUGGAAAGCUUCUCUCCUUCAAAGCCACCCUCUAUCUCCUGUUCCUUCAUUUUUUUUUUCACAAUAAACUUUAGACCCAGACACUGCAACUAUUUUAUCUCCACAGAUGGUCAGCACACACUGGACAUUAAAUAUUUUUUAAUGCUGCCAUACUAGUCAUUAAGUAUUUUUUUAAAACACCCCCCCCCCCGAUCUAGAAGCCAUCAACAAAGGCAUCUUUCAGACUUACUAAACCAGUCUAUCAUAACAGAGAGGGCCCAGACAUGUUUCUCAUAUACGGUGGGCACUGAGUAGUCCUGCACCUUGAAUGCCAUCACUUAAUUCUUACAAUCCCAAAGAGGCAACACAGUAAAACAUUUAGGAGCACAAGAUUUUGAAAAUAAUCUACUACUAAGGUUUAAAUCCAGGUUCCAACACUUACUAAUCUUUGAAAAGUUAUUUUAGAUCUCUGUGCUUCAAUUUCCUCUGUAAAAUAUGAUAAACAGUACUUCUCUUCCUGCCUAUGGUAAAUAUCAAGCAAGUUAGUAAAUGUAAAGCACCGAGAUCAGUGCCUAGCACAGUCACUGCUUUUAAGAUAUUAUCGGCUAGUGGUGAUGCUGAGAUCUACACCCAGGUUUUCUAAAUCUAAACUCCAUGCUUUCUGUGACA